GAAAGUUUGUGAAUAACCUGAAUGAAAACAACUUGAGAGAAGUGUAUACUCACUACUUUGCAAAGACGUAUACUUUGGCCUUCAGAAGAUUGAUUGUCCGAUGGAUAGCGACAGUGGGAUGUUUUGGACUGACUUUAAUCUGGGAAGCAGGUCGAUCACAUUCUUUGCAAUCGAUGAAGAGCAUGAAGAAUGGGAAACCGUCUCGUUAAAAGAAGAAAUGAUUCUGCAAACACGCCUAUUAGAAAAGAAAGAAAGUCAGGAGUUCGUUCUUGUCGUGCAAUUGAAUCAAACUGUCGAUACGCUUUUAUCUUUUGUCAACGAUACAAGCGAAAAAUAUGUCAAGUUUUUAUACAAUCAAG